GUGGGGAAUCUUCCGCAAUGGACGAAAGUCUGACGGAGCAACGCCGCGUGAGUGAAGAAGGUUUUCGGAUCGUAAAGCUCUUUCGUUAGGGACGAACGUGCUCUUUGUGAAUAAUGAGGAGUAAUGACGGUACCUAAAUAAGAAGCCACGGCUAACUACGUGCCAGCAGCCGCGGUAAUACGUAGGUGGCAAGCGUUGUCCGGAAUUAUUGGGCGUAAAGCGCGCGCAGGCGGGAUAUCAAGUCUGUCUUAAAAGUGCGAGGCUCAACCUCGUGGGGGGACAGAAACUGGUAUUCUUGAGUGUCGGAGAGGAAAGUGGAAUUCCAAGUGUAGCGGUGAAAUGCGUAGAGAUUUGGAAGAACACCAGUGGCGAAGGCGACUUUCUGGACGAUGUCUGACGCUGAGGCGCGAAAGCUAGGGGAGCGAACGGGAUUAGAUACCCUUGUAGUCC
rnacentral:rRNA from 1 species